AGUUGUCCCGCGUGGCUCGGGCUGUGGGAAGCAGGUCCUGGCUCUUGGUCCGAGCCAUCGUGCUUUGUAUGAUGGAAGGGCAAAUCCACGCGAAUCUCUUAAAAAAAAAAGAGAGGAAUUCUGCCCAGACUCUCCAGCAGUUGGUAGCAGGCAAGCUUUCUCCUGUGUCGCCUGGAAAAGUUGCAAAAUUGCUCUUCACCUGUAAGAACAUGCAUUUUAUCUUCCAGUCUCUUCUUGUCAAUUUGGAAAUUGCAGACAGCCCGGCUCAGGAGAAAUGGCUCUGUGCAUUGGUUUCCCUGGCUGACACUGAGAAUAAGCAACUCUGUCCGCUUGUUGUCUGAAGAUGACUAGAGGAGAAAUAACACCAAAGCCCUGAGCAAUGCUUUGCAGACAUCUAGGGGCUCAGGAUGUGUGAUGUAGCCCAGUUCUGUUUGUUGACAUCCAGCUUUUGAAAGCAUCAGCCUUUGAGAGUGGAGCAAUAUUGGAGCUAUGGAGUCACCUUUAACCUGGAAAUAUCGAAGGGUCAUGAACUCAUCGUCGUCGUCAUCAUCAUCAUCAUCACCGUCACCAGCAGCAGCAGCAGCAGCAGCAGCAGCAGCAGCAAGAUUUUGUGUUGGGAAGGUACUUCCACAUGCUACAGGGGACAGAAGGUCAUCGGCUAUUGGCCCAGGGAUUAUAGCAUGGAAGAGUUCCUCUUCUCAGAGGAUAUUAAACCUUUUGAGGAUU
ensembl:lincRNA uncharacterized LOC110308844